UACGUAGGGUGCAAGCGUUGUCCGGAAUUAUUGGGCGUAAAGAGCUUGUAGGCGGUUUGUCGCGUCUGCUGUGAAAUUUCGGGGCUCAACCCCGAACUUGCAGUGGGUACGGGCAGGCUAGAGUUCGGUAGGGGAGACUGGAAUUCCUGGUGUAGCGGUGAAAUGCGCAGAUAUCGGGAGGAACACCGGUGGCGAAGGCGGUUCUCUGGGCAUUACCUGACGCUGAGGAGCGAAAGUGUGGGGAGCGAACAGG
rnacentral:rRNA from 1 species